rnacentral:rRNA from 1 species
CAGCCGUAAACAAUGUGCGUUAGGUGUGUCGGUAACCACGCGUUACUGAUGCGCCGAAGAGAAAUCGUGAAACGCACCACCUGGGAAGUACGGUCGCAAGGCUGAAACUUAAAGGAAUUGGCGGGGGAGCACCACAACAGGUGGAGCCUGCGGUUUAAUUGGACUCAACGCCGGAAAUCUCACCGGAUAGGACAGCAGAAUGAUUGCCGGGCUGAAGACUCUGCAUGACUAGCUGAGAGGUGGUGCAUGGCGUCAGUGACU